GUGUUUGCUUUGGCAUCACACAUACUAAAAUUGGAAGGAUACAGAGAUUAGCAUGACCCCUGCUCAAAGAUUACACAAAUUUGUGAAGUGUUCCAUAUUAAA
rnacentral:snRNA from 1 species